CCCCAGUAGCGGCGAGCGAACGGGGAGCAGCCCAGAGUCUGAAUCAGCUUGUGUGUUAGUGGAACGGUCUGGAAAGUCCGACGGUACAGGGUGAUAGUCCCGUACACCAAAAUGCACAGGUUGUGAACUCGAAGAGUAGGGCGGGACACGUGGUAUCCUGUCUGAAUAUGGGGGGACCAUCCUCCAAGGCUAAAUACUCCUGACUGACCGAUAGUGAACCAGUACCGUGAGGGAAAGGCGA
rnacentral:rRNA from 1 species